CACUCGAGGUGUAUUGCUUACAACGGCGAGUGAAGCGGCAAAAGCUCAAAUUUGAAAUCUGGCACCUUCGGUGUCCGAGUUGUAAUUUGAAGAAGGUAACUUUGGAGUUGGCUCUUGUCUAUGUUCCUUGGAACAGGACGUCACAGAGGGUGAGAAUCCCGUGCGAUGAGAUGCCCAAUUCUAUGUAAAGUGCUUUCGAAGAGUCGAGUUGUUUGGGAAUGCAGCUCUAAGUGGGUGGUAAAUUCCAUCUAAAGCUAAAUAUUGGCGAGAGACCGAUAGCGAACAAGUACAGUGAUGGAAAGAUGAAAAGAACUUUGAAAAGAGAGUGAAAAAGUACGUGAAAUUGUUGAAAGGGAAGGGCUUGAGAUCAGACUUGGUAUUUUGCGAUCCUUUCCUUCUUGGUUGGGUUCCUCGCAGCUUACUGGGCCAGCAUCGGUUUGGAUGGUAGGAUAAUGACUAAGGAAUGUGGCUCUACUUCGGUGGAGUGUUAUAGCCUUGGUUGAUACUGCCUGUCUAGACCGAGGACUGCGUCUUUUGACUAGGAUGUUGGCAUAAUGAUCUUAAGCCACCCGUCUUGAAACACAGACCAAA
rnacentral:rRNA from 1 species